ensembl:lncRNA
UUUCCCUGUCCUGUGCAGCCCUGGCUCGUGCUGUCAAGUGGCUGUGGUACUGCUGUGCCAUGCAAGUGAUGCUCACAGCUUUCUACGUUGUGAAGCAGGCUUUUAACACGUUUUGGUUACUGGAACUGUUUUCAAGGAGAACGUCACGCCAGGAGCCUCCAGAGUGCUCUGUGUUUGUUACCAAGCUUUUGCAACUGUACUGAUUUGAAGGAUGACGUGGUGUUUGCUCGUGGUCCCAAUUAGAGGCUCUUUAGAGCAAAAUCCAGAGCAAUUUCUGGAUGUCGUUGACCAUGAUAGCUGAUUUUCUAAUCAUGGCUAAGCUGCUCUUCGUUCUGAAGUGAGCAUUGUUGCACCCUGACUGAAGCUGUGUUGCUCUGCAAAGGUGCUACCAGAGGGCAGCCACAGCGAGGCUGGGACAGAGGGCCGAUCAAAUGCUGCUCCUGCACUUCUGUCUCUGUCCCUAAACAGUGCCCCUCUCAAUGUCUUACAGCUACGGAUUUGGUAUCAGCUCAGAUGACUGGAAAUAGCUGCUGUUUUUUCCCAAUGUCCAGAUGUGCUGGUUUUUUUUUUAAACAUCGAAUUGUGCUUUAAAAACGUGGUCAUAUGACAGAGAUUACAGUUGUUAAGUAUUCACGUAUCAAGGAUUUCUAUUUUUGAAGAGGCAAACAACUCCAUUAUGGUUUGCAAUCUAUAUAUAAGAACUUACAGUGAAAAGCACGUACCAGAAAUAACCAAGAUGGGCUGAACCUUUAAGUUCCAUACUAUUUUCCUGAGCAAUGAGAAUAUUUUAUGAAACCUAAAGGAAUCUGCUUCCUGAAAAACCUCCCUCUGAAACAGCCCUGAGCUGCCCUGAUGGCCGGGGAAGCAGAACAAGAGUUUGGAUGCUUUGGAGCCCUCCUGUUAGAGGAAAUAGAUUUUUGAUGGGGGAUUGAAAUAGAUUUUUAAUGGGGGAAAAGGCUGCCACAAACAUAAGGCUGAAAGGGGGUAAAAUGGCACGUGUGUCCGUGCACGGAAUUAUUGGCAGUUAUUGAAGGGAAGAUGUACCACAGUUUGGAGCUUUUAGAGUAUUUAAGGCUUAUGUCAUAAGGAUGCCUGGAGCACUACAGUAAUUGAAGUAUUCAAAUCUGCUGAAUGAAUACCAGCUAAACCGUUUUCUUUAGAUAACAUGACUUGAAGCUGCAGAACUGUCAGUGUAUCUCAUAUGCUGCAAUUGUUUGCCUUUUAUUUGUGUGUGAUUCACUACUUUUACUAAUUGUUAGAGCUGUAACGCAUCAGUAUCAUUAAUAACUAAUGACAGCAUGAUCUCACUACAUCUGCAACUAACAGGGUCACUUGGCGUGUCAGCUGUGUCACAGCCCCCAUCAGCACUGGGAUGUGGUGCUCCCAGCAGUCCCCAUUCUCCUUCCUGAUGCUGUACGCAUGCCAGGUCUGAGGAUACAGGCUAACAAAUUGGGUUUUAAGCUCCUUUUGAUUGCAGCGUUGCACGCUGCUCCCAGAUCUGCAGGACUGAGCAU